rnacentral:rRNA from 1 species
GUAGUCCACGCUGUAAACGAUGUCGAUUUGGAGGUUGUGCCCUUGAGGCGUGGCUUCCGGAGCUAACGCGUUAAAUCGACCGCCUGGGGAGUACGGCCGCAAGGUUAAAACUCAAAUGAAUUGACGGGGGCCCGCACAAGCGGUGGAGCAUGUGGUUUAAUUCGAUGCAACGCGAAGAACCUUACCUACUCUUGACAUCCAGAGAACUUUCCAGAGAUGGAUUGGUGCCUUCGGGAACUCUGAGACAGGUGCUGCAUGGCUGUCGUCAGCUCGUGUUGUGAAAUGUUGGGUUAAGUCCCGCAACGAGCGCAACCCUUAUCCUUUGUUGCCAGCGGUUCGGCCGGGAACUCAAAGGAGACUGCCAGUGAUAAACUGGAGGAAGGUGGGGAUGACGUCAAGUCAUCAUGGCCCUUACGAGUAGGGCUACACACGUGCUACAAUGGCAUAUACAAAGAGAAGCGACCUCGCGAGAGCAAGCGGACCUCAUAAAGUAUGUCGUAGUCCGGAUUGGAGUCUGCAACUCGACUCCAUGAGGUCGGAAUCGCUAGUAAUCGUAGAUCAGAAUGCUACGGUGAAUACGUUCCCGGGCCUUGUACACACCGCCCGUCACACCAUGGGAGUGGGUUGCAAAAGAAGUAGGUAGCUUAACCUUCGGGAGGGCGCUUACCACUUUGUGAUUCAUGACUGGGGUGAAGUCGUAACAAGGUAACC